rnacentral:pre_miRNA from 2 species
AGGUUGUCCGUGGUGAGUUCGCAUUAUUUAAUGAUGCCCAAUACACGGUCGACCUCU